rnacentral:tRNA from 1 species
GGACCCGUAGCUCAGUUGGUUAGAGCGCUCGGCUCAUAACCGAGCGGCCAUCGGUUCAAAUCCGGUCGGGUCCACCA